UUGUACACACCGCCCGUCACACCAUGGGAGUGGGUUGCAAAAGAAGUAGGUAGCUUAACCUUCGGGAGGGCGCUUACCACUUUGUGAUUCAUGACUGGGGUGAAGUCGUAACAAGGUAACCGUAGGGUAACCUGCGGUUGGAUCACCUCCUUACCUGAAGAUACCUUCCGGCGCAGUGUCCACACAGAUUGUCUGAUAAAAAGUAACGAGCAGAAAAACCUCUACAGGCUUGUAGCUCAGGCAGGCCUACCAAAUUUCUUCUCAUGCUGCGAUAUGCACUCGGUCGUUUACUGUAGUAAACUUCCCACCCGCAUGCCUUGCCUGAGUAAAAAUUAACAUUUUCCUUCUUAUUACAGAAGAAAAUGACUCCUGGUAGACAAAGGUUUCUGUAAGACCGUAU
rnacentral:misc_RNA from 1 species